GCCCCCGUAGCUCAGGGGAUAGAGCAACGGCCUCCGGAGCCGUGUGCGCAGGUUCGAAUCCUGCCGGGGGCGCCC
rnacentral:tRNA from 1 species